GGAAGUAAAAGCGUAACAAGGUUUCCGUAGGUGAACCUGCGGAAGGAUCAUUAUUGGAUUUUGAAACUUCAGGCUGCUACUGGCUCUCCUCGGAGGGCAUGUGCACGCUUGUUGUCCAUUAUUUCUCCCACUGUGCACAAAUUGUAGACCUUUCAGUAGGCCUAUGUUGUUUUUCACAAUCUCUGAAUGUAAUAGAAUGGUUUUGAAUCUUGGGAAAUACAAUACAACUUUCAGCAACGGAUCUCUUGGCUCUC
rnacentral:misc_RNA from 1 species